rnacentral:rRNA from 1 species
UUCAUGGUUAAUCUUAAGGAAGCUCUACGAUACGUUUUCCAAGAGUCGAGUUGUUUGGGAUUGCAGCUCAAAAUGGGAGGUAAAUUUCUCCUAAGGCUAAAUAUUGGCGAGAGACCGAUAGCGAACAAGUACCGUGAGGGAAAGAUGAAAAGAACUUUGAAAAGAGAGUUAAACAGUACGUGAAAUUGUUGAAAGGGAAACGAUUGAAGUCAGUCAUACCAACGGGAAAUCAACCUUUUGAGCUUGGUCUCGUGGGUUUUGAAGAGUUUCAAAGCCUUCGGAUUCGCUAGAUUGGGAUCUCUCGGUGUACUUUUUCGUACGGUUAGUCAACAUCGGUUUUGAAUGUCAUAAAAUGACUGGAGGAAUGUAGCUUCGAUCUCGUAUUGAAGUGUUAUAGCCUUUGGUAGAUGUGAUGUUUGAGACCGAGGAUUGCAACGGAUACCCUUCAGGGCUAUUCGUCUGAUCUCUGAUACGUUGCCUUGAUGUUGAAAGCUUGCUUAUGAUGUUAGGGUAUUACGGUCAAAAGGUUAGAACGGAUUAGAUU